UAAUGCUUUUACAAUGGAAAUGUUUAUUUCCUGGAUGUGUGAAGGAGGGCAAGUGAUAUUCCCAGUUCAUGCAACAUAUAAAAGCAGGAACUUCAACCUCCAGCUCCAAAACUGGGAGCUACUGUCCUAAUGAGGAACCAACUUGUUCUGAGGAGCAUCUGAAUAAAGAGGGAACAGUUUUCUGUCUCAGUAAUGGGGAAGGACACCUUUUGAAGUCAGAGCUUUGGCAUGCGCUCCACGCUCCUGAAGGAGUUGGAUUACUCAACUGAGCUGAAAUGGAGCACCACGACCUCAGUUCCUCGUUGUCCCGUGAUGAGCAGGACAGGUGGCAGAGGACAGGAGGUAUAAACCUCAGUAUCUUUGGACUAUGCCCAGUGCUCCUUGCAAUGAGCUGAUCUGUGGAAUAUCUGGAUUUUGCUUGGCGCUGGCUGUGAGGUAAGAUUUCUUGUUUCCUGUGGUUUUGCUUGGUGUUAAGAAGAAAAAAAAAAAAAAAAAAAAAAAAAGCUAAGUGCUUUCAGGCUUUCAUGCAAUUGGGUCCUCGUGGUUCAGUCCCUCAUAAAAGAUGUUCUUUUUUCAGCUUUGUAAACACUCCACUUUCAGCCUUUUAUUGUUCUGUAGAAAGAGAAAUGUGCCAUGAAAUGCAC